UAUAAAUGAGUGUAAGCAGCAAAUUCACCAUUUUGACUGUUUUCCAAUUGCCUGUAGCUACACUUGUUCAAUUGAGUGCUGCGUGCAUAAAUCAAAACAGGAUGUUUUCUUUUACCUAACAAUGGCCAAGCUCUGUGCCAGCGCUUAAGUAUUUUCUGUGUGGAUCCAACCUAUAGUCUUAAACACAUUUUCCCCUGUAGAUCUCUGUACACAUUGCAUGUGUGCACACAGCCAGCCCGUCUAACUUAACAGGUAUUUUCUGAGACCUCUUUAAGAGAAGGUUAACGGAAAAUCAACAGCUACCUUUCUUGUUGAUUUUCAUUGGGCCCUAGGGUGCAAUUAAAUGUUAACAUUGUUAUUGAACUUUCUUGACAGAUUGAAUUUCCCUGGUUAGGAAGCAUGCAUAUGUACAGUACACAUCUACCUCUCUUCCCAGGGUGAAGGCACUCCUGACAUCGUGGCGUGGUGUAAGGAGGAGAGCAAAGCAAAAUUUGGGGAAUCCUUUCCACUAUUAGAGGGAAUUUCUCCAAGCUGUAUCUUUUUACCAGGUGCUGAUGGCUGCAGCAGAGAGCCCGGAGCUGAGCAGAAAAUGCGAACGGGUCAUUGCAUCAACAGCUGGAAAAAGGCAGUGGCUGUGAACAUAGAUGCUGUGUGUCCCUUCCCGUUGGUUCCAGAGCUCGGUGUUCCUGCUGGAACCCAGGACAGGACAACUCCAUCCCACUGCAGCAGCGCUCAGCCCAAACUGCAGCUCUCUGGGUUUCGACUUUAGGACCCUACUGUAGAAGAAAGGACGUGGUUCCACUUCCCAGAGAGGUUUCCCUUCCCACCCCUGCGCCCUCCAGGCUCUCUCACUCCUCGCACAGAGGGCUGCAGAGCUCCGGGAUCCCACAGCCUCAUCCCAGAGCCCCGGGGAUGGGACCCCAUGUUAUCCAUGAGCAACUUUGUCCGUGGGCCUCCAAUUACUCUCAGUGCUCUGAGCUCUGUCACAUCGCCUUCUCAUCAGGGACAGCACCGAUGGGCUCUUUCAUUCCCCCCCCCCCCCACCCCCUCUUUUUAUUUUCUUGUGCUCACGGUUGCGUUCUCCUUUAUGUUUUUAAUGAUUGUGCACAGGAGCCCUAAUGCUGCAGCGGGGACCUGAGGCUCUCAGCCCAUCCUGCAUCACAAAGCACUGCAUCACAUCCCCUGCACAGCCCCAUCCCUCCCCACGCAGAGCCUCCCCAUGGCUGCAACCCCGGCUGAAACUCCGGUAUUGAGUGAGCCCUACACCUCCCACCCCCCCAUCCCAAAUCCGGGGCCAUUUGAUUUGAUUUGAUCCGUUCCAACCCGUUUUCUCUACACCAAAUCAAACAGGAGAGGAGAUAACGAAACCUAUGGCUCGUAUGAAAGAAACAUUUCACAAUUAGAAAAAAAAAAAAAAGAAAGUUAAUAAAUGGCCGAGCCCCAACAGAUGGGGGUGUGUGGAAUUUGCAUUUCUCAGAUUAACAUGCACGAGCGAGGAUAGAAAACGCUCUUGCCCCGGGGAAAUAAUUUGAGAAAUCUUUGCAUAUUUUAUUUAAAAGCAUGCCACGUUAGGCAGGGUAAUAAUGCAGAGCGGUGGUGAUUAGGUGAGGCCUGGAGGGAUGGCAGCCCGGGACCCCCCCCACACACACACACCCACCCAUUACAGCCCCCCGACCCGCGGUGCUGCACCCCAAAGCCGCAGUGGGGUCGGGGUGUUGGUGUGAGCACGCUGGGCCGGGUGUGCAGCGCCCUGCAGUGCCGUGCAGUGAUCCCCUGCUCUGCACACCGCCUGUCCCGCUAUGGGAUGCUCCGCUCCCCAAAGAAUUGCGGGUGCCCUCGGGGUGCUCCGUGCUGAUGAGUGCUGAUGGGAGCUCCUCCAGAUGGAGCGGAGGGGUCGGGGCGGGCGCUGCUCCCGCUGCAGUUCACA